CUGCUGUUAUGAAUUGCUUAGCCAUGUUUGAGUAGUUUCAUUGUUAGAUUUUAGGGUUUAAAUAGGUUAGGAGGGAUUAGCCCCAACUAUAGAAUGCUGAGUUGUGAUAAUCAUCUUUAGGAUUGUUCAUUAAUGCAUGUGUCUAGAUUAGCAACCUAGAACCUGCCCUUGGAUUUGAUUGAUAAAAGCGAGAGCUUUUUUCUCAUUCUGAAAACAUUCUAAUAGAACUAUGUUUCUUGCUAUGAGCAAGGCGAGAGCUGAUCUAGUGAGCUUAGUAAGCUGUUAUUCAACCCGCACAUAAAGCUUGACUAGAGCGCGUCGA
rnacentral:lncRNA from 1 species